AUGCGUGAUCAGGUCGGCAUCGACCUAGACGGCUUCCCCCUCGACCACGAGUUCCUGGACGACUACGGGCUAGAGGAAGAGGACGAGUGCGACAUCGAAGUGGAGCCUUUGUUCAAGGACGAGCUCGCCAACCAAGCCGUCGGACCUAAGCCGAAGCGCAAGAGCAAGCGCACGAAGGCGUACACGGCGGCCGAGGACAAACUUCUUUGCGAGUGUUGGUGA
rnacentral:rRNA from 1 species